UUUUAUUUUUUUUUCAACUCGACAAGGGAAGAACGACGUCGUUUCCAACUUUAGCACUGUUUCUCCCCAAUCUGUCAUCAACCCUAUCUCUCUAAUCGCGUGUGUUCUCUGCGUUUCUACCCACUCCUCCGUACGACUAAUCACCUUCUGAAUUCGUUUCCUCUCUCACAGCCUUGCUUUCCCUCACAUGAAUCUCAAACCCUAGCUGUUCUUGCGUGUUAGCCUUCCUCUUUCAACCUACUUCUCACCAAUCCAUCAAUAGAGUCUUUUCUGAUUGAUCUGAUGAUGAAUUGCUUUCGGCCGCCGCUUGAUGUGUAAUUGAAGCUAACGUUGCCGCCGAUUAUGGUAGAAUCAAUCGCGUAUCGACAGCUCAAAUCGUCCGCUGUUCAUCUGUCAUUUUUCCUCACGAGAACCCUAACUACUAUGGUUGAAUGCAUCAGCAGAAGUUGAAUACUUUAGCAAAUGGUUAUUGGAUUUGUUCACUCUGGGUUCCUGCUGUUGAAGAAUGACAAGUGGGACUAAGAAAAGAAGGGUAUAGAGAGUGGAAAGUGUAGCAAAGAAAUAAAAGUACAAGAGAGUGUUGCAAUGCUAUUUGAGGUGUGUUGUGGGGAAAGACUGUCGGAUAACAUGAUGGUAUGGGGCUUCAAAGGUCCACAAGUGCCUCGCUGGGACAUAAUUGCAGAGAAACUGGGUUUCAUGUUGGUCUUUGGAGAUUUAGUGUGGAUUGAUAUGACUCAAUGCAGGCAGAGAACUGUUCAAAAAAUGUGGAAGACUGUCAUACAUGGCAAGUCCUUGCAGGUAUUGAUCUUGCUGGUCAGAUUGUUUUGGUUCUAAUAGGCAAAAGCUGUGUUUUUUCUUUUGGCAGGUCUUAAUUUUAAUGGUCAAACUUUUUCUAACACCUUUCAGAAGCUUUCAUUGCUAUUUAUAUUAAUACUUAAAUUGGUUUGAUUUAGUUGGUGCAUUGUUAUUUACUCCCUCUACAAAUUUGUGCAUCCUUUUAGUGUGCAAAUGGUGAACCCCUUGAGUGAAUAAGUUGAAGAUAUUUUCUUUUCACAUUGGGAAUUUGUAUUGCAAAUGGUGGAUUGUUACAUUGUCUAUGCUUCUUAAUUUUGUGAUUUACUGAUUUGUCUCAUAAAUUUUAGGAUGAAUAGCUCUGACAAAAAUGAUUUGUUGUAAUUAAUCAUAUUACCUUAUAUUUUUACUCUUCAUUCACUGUGAUCCCAUUUUGUUGUAGAGGAGAAUGUUAUUUUAAUUCAAAAGCUGAGAAAUGUUUUUAUCCUGCUUUCUUUUAACUGGGGUUGCCUCUAUGAGUGUGUUGAAGUUCAUGCAAGUUGAAGCAUUAGAGGCAACUAUCAAGAAGUAUAUCAUGAGCAAAGUCAACUGAUAGAAAGGGAGAGAGUGCUUCAAGAAGAACGUGAUUUAGGAUGCUUCUCGGAGUACAGGAGUGUGUGCUUGCCAAUCAGAGGUCGAUUUAAUUAACAAGAACCAUAUGGAAGACUGAUGGUUGAACUUAAUGUCCUUAGGGUGUGGAAAAAUAUACAAAUGCAAUCUCGAUCACACACCAGUAGCACUAAAGAUUCUGUAUGAGGAGUUUCUAAAGAGGAUUUUCUUAAGUUUUUUUUUCUCUUCUUGCUGAAUUUUUUAUGAGAUUUAGUCUAUGAGACCUACUGAACCCAAAAAUGGUUCUUUGUUUUUUCUUCCCUUCUUAUACCUUAUGUAAUUUGCAGAUCAGGGUCCAUUGUCUUUCAAAGGAAUCCCUUAUUAAGUGGCUCCUGAGGUUCUAAUUUUUUAGGAUCGCUUCUUUAUAUUUUACCAUGUGGUGUUCAUAUGGUUAUUCCAUUCACUUAAAUGAGUUUCACACGGUUCAGUACC